UACGUAGGGUGCGAGCGUUGUCCGGAAUUAUUGGGCGUAAAGAGCUUGUAGGUGGUCUGUCGCGUCUGCCGUGAAAAUCCGGGGCUCAACCCCGGACUUGCGGUGGGUACGGGCAGACUAGAGUGUGGUAGGGGAGACUGGAAUUCCUGGUGUAGCGGUGAAAUGCGCAGAUAUCAGGAGGAACACCGAUGGCGAAGGCAGAUCUCUGGGCCGUAACUGACGCUGAGGAGCGAAAGCAUGGGGAGCGAACAGG
rnacentral:rRNA from 1 species